AGCUAACUAUGAAGUGAGAAGUUCCUCCCUUUGCUGCUUCUUUUUCUCCAGCUCUUGAGGACUGCCUUUUUGUUUGGUGUGUUUGCUGUACUUUUGUUGGGAUGUCCGAACAGUUGGUUUAACAGAGAAACAACAUAGCAGUGAACAGAGCACGCUCUGAGGAAAGGUGCGGAGAUGCAGAAAACAUGAGCACUUGCUGGCGCCGAGAAUGUGGGCCCUCUCCUUCUCACAGAUGCCAACGUGGAAUCGCAGGAAAACCCAGAUGUGAAGGGAGUCGGGAGGUCUCCAGAGCAGCCUCACUUUGAGCUGAGAGCUGAGCUCAGAUCAGACUGCUCAGGGUUGUGCCCUGUCAGAGCUUGGAAAUUUCCAAUGAUGGAGCCAGCGCAGCCUCCAUGGACAACCUGCACCACUGCCUGGCUGUCCCAAGGGGAAAGAGUUUCCUUAGUUUCAGCUUGGAUUUCUCUUCUUUCAACUUCCGUCCAUAGUCUCUCGCCCACUCACUGUGCACUGCUGUGAAGAACCUGGCUUUGCUCCCUCAGUCCCUUCCCUGUAAGUGUCAGGAGCUACAGCCAUCUCUCUUCCAGCUUAGCAAAAUCCCAAACACUUUUCUGAAGAUGCUUCUGUCUAAAGAUCAUAAAAUACAUAAAUUCUGACCACUGUGGAACACACAAACACUUUUGUACAGCCCUACAACUUGUAACUGAAGAUUAAAGAUGUUAUUUCACUGAUUGUAUUUCUAGCAUAAAUGCAGUUAAUUAGCAGAGUAAAUGAUGAUUCCAUGUAAAUAAUGAUGAUGGACACAAAUUAUUGAGAACUUUUUCAACUAAAUUAACAGAAUUGGCAACAAAUCAAUCUGUGUAUCUAUCUCAUACCUGCAGAGCAGUUGCCCUUUUACUCCCUAUCAUUUCGUUUGGGUUGUUCUUCCACAAAGGAACUCCAAAUCAGAGUUCAGAGCAUAAGCAUGUACUGGAAAAGUAGUUAGAUUUGAUGAAGAAGUGUGAACAAUUUGUCAUGGUCUUCCCACUCGUAUCCAGCAUCAUUGAAGAUUCGUAGAUUCUCUUUUGCUGGGAGUCCCUCUUGUCUGUUGAGUGCUUUAUGUGUUUGCCCUGCAAAACAGAGAAGUGUGCACAGGAAGAACAAUCCUAGGAAUGGCAGAGUUAAAAGGCAUUGAUCUUUUUCAAUGUUUCAGUUCUGUUUCUCAGAUGACAAAGAUGCUGAUAAAUGGGCAGCUACAGAUUACUUUUUUUUUUCAUCUAAGUACAUUGUAAAGUCUGAUCUACAUUUGUCUGUGGUAGGUCUUUCUUUUCAGUGAAAGGAGUUACUGCUAAGAACUAAAUUAAGAGAUCAUGAGACAAAAAUUCCCUCUGCACAGAAUAUGCAAUGGGUAAGGGUAGUUGCCUCUUUUUGACUAUGUGGCUUAACUUUGAAUUGGAAGGAUAAUACCUCAGCAUCUUUUCUCUUUGCUCUUGAA